AUGGGGGCUCGUGCCAAGCACCGGAAGGCGCCGGAUGACGUCCCUACUUCCAGGUCCGCCAUUGUUGUCCUGACUGUCUGGGUUCUGCCCUUCGGAGGGGGCGCCGGGCCUUUCCGGCUGCGGCCUCCCCGGGACUUCUUUCCGGACUCUGUCUUGCUCCUGAGGUUCUUGCCCCUACAAAAUAGGGGAGCACAGGAGUCAUGGCAUCUGUGCUCCUGACAACCACGCCCCAGAAACUGGGAUUGUCCCUGGGGCAGCAGGAAUCUGUUGUUUCAGGAGUCCGUGAUGUUCGAGGAUGUAGCAGUGUACUUCACGCAGAAGGAAUGGGCAGAUCUGGCCCCUGCUCAGAGGGCCCUGUACAAGGAUGUGAUGCUAGAGAAUUAUGGAAACGUAGUCUCCUUGGGUAAGGCUUCUCACCUGUUUUACCUUAGAAUCCUCCUUUUGUAGUUUUCUGAUUUCCUUCUUAAUUAGAUGCUGUGGGUUCUUUGAUAACACAGUGAUGACUUAAGGCCUGAGAUUACCAUGCCCCCUUCUCAGGGAUUUCCAACUGGAGAGAACCCUGGGGUUCCUUUGGUCCUAAAGCAACACUUUGUUUCCUAUUCCUUGGGGAGCUUUGUUCUAUUUGCAGUGGGAAUUAGAUGAUCUCCAUGCUGAAUCCUCCACUGCACUAUCCUAGUUCCUUAAAGGAGACCCAGGCCCCUCUCCCAUAUAUAGGGAGUCUUUCUUAAGAUCUUGUACAUGUUCUCCCUGUUGGAUUUUCCCAUCUUUUUCUAAGAGGGCACAGAAUUGUUUUUCCUCUUGAUUGAAACCUAGAACUCCCCGACCCUGCUUAGUCUUCCUGGAAGUGUGAGCCUGACCUAGGUCCCCAGGGUUGCCUUACUUGCCUCUGUGCCUUCUCAAAAUUUUCAUAAGCAAUUCCCUUCUCUUCUCCAUAUGCACAGAUUGAGAUAGAAUUCAGGGACAGCUCAGUAUAACUCCAUUCACCAUCCUGACCCAUUCUCUUCCUUUGAGCAGCAUUUCCAUUUCCCAAACCUGCGGUGAUCUCUAAGCUGGAGCGAGGAGAAGAACCAUGGGGCCUGGAUCCACAGGUUGUACCAGAUGAAGAAGGCCUAAAAGGUGUGUGUGUGUGUGUGUGUGUGUGUGUGUGUGUGUGUGUGUGUGUACACAGCUCAGUGAGUAAAAACAUGUCAAUUUAUUUUCCUUCUCUUUUAACUUUUUCGAAAUGUAAAAAAUUUGUAUUGUUUUAUCCUACUGCUAACAGAUCCCCAGUUUCCCUGUUCCUCAUCGGUUCAGCAGUCAUUGUUUCCCAUCUUCUUCAGUCCGUGUUCCAUUAAGGAAUUCUUGAAACCUGGGAUCCGUGAACUUAUUUUUUAAUAAAAUAUUUUUGAGAGCUGUAUUUCA
rnacentral:lncRNA from 1 species